rnacentral:sRNA from 1 species
CAAAACAAACACAAAAAAAA